rnacentral:rRNA from 1 species
UACGGGGGGUGCGAGCGUUGUCCGGAAUCACUGGGCGUAAAGGGCGCGUAGGUGGUCUGAUAAGGGUGUGGUGAAAGUCCGGGGCUCAACCCCGGAUCUGCCGUGCCGACUGUCAGACUCGAGGACUGUAGAGGCAGGCGGAAUUCCGGGUGUAGCGGUGGAAUGCGCAGAUAUCAGGAAGAACACCCAUGGCGAAAGCAGCUCUCUGGGACGGUACUGACGCUGAGACGCGAAAGCGUGGGGAGCGAACAGG